UACGGAGGGUGCGAGCGUUGUCCGGAAUUAUUGGGCGUAAAGAGCUCGUAGGCGGUUUGUCGCGUCUGCUGUGAAAACUCGGGGCUUAACUCCGGGCCUGCAGUGGGUACGGGCAGACUAGAGGUAGGCAGGGGAGAGCGGAACUCCUGGUGUAGCGGUGGAAUGCGCAGAUAUCAGGAAGAACACCGGUGGCGAAGGCGGCUCUCUGGGCCUUACCUGACGCUGAGGAGCGAAAGCGUGGGUAGCGAACAGG
rnacentral:rRNA from 1 species